rnacentral:rRNA from 1 species
CGUUUGGAUCAAGGGUGGCCUCUACAUGUAAGCUACUGUUUGAAGAUGAGCCCGCGUACCAUUAGCUUGUUGGUGGGGUAAUGGCCUACCAAGGCAGCGAUGGUUAGCUGGUCUGAGAGGAUGAUCAGCCACACUGGAACUGACACACGGUCCAGACUCCUACGGGAGGCAGCAGUGAGGAAUUUUGCGCAAUGGGGGAAACCCUGACGCAGCAACGCCGCGUGAGUGAUGAAGGCUUUCGGGUCGUAAAGCUCUGUCAAGUGGGAAGAACCUGCAGUAUGCCAAUAUCAUAUUGCACUGACGGUACCACUGAAGGAAGCACCGGCUAACUCCGUGCCAGCAGCCGCGGUAAUACGGGGGGUGCAAGCGUUAUUCGGAAUCAUUGGGCGUAAAGAGCACGUAGGCGGCCUGGUAAGUCAGAUGUGAAAGCCCGGGGCUUAACCCCGGAAGUGCAUUUGAUACUGUCAGGCUUGAGUAUGGGAGAGGGAAGUGGAAUUCCUGGUGUAGAGGUGAAAUUCGUAGAUAUCAGGAGGAACACCGGUGGCGAAGGCGACUUCCUGGACCAAUACUGACGCUGAGGUGCGAAGGCGUGGGUAGCAAACAGGAUUAGAUACCCUGGUAGUCCACGCAGUAGACGUUGUUCACUAGGUGUAGCGGGUAUUGACCCCUGCUGUGCCGCAGUUAACGCAUUAAGUGAACCGCCUGGGGAGUACGACCGCAAGGUUAAACUCAAAGGAAUUGACGGGGGCCCGCACAAGCGGUGGAGCAUGUGGUUUAAUUCGACGCGACGCGAAGAACCUUACCUGGAUUUGACAUCCCGGGAAUCCUAUCGAAAGACUGGAGUGCCCUUCGGGGAGCCCGGAGACAGGUGCUGCAUGGCUGUCGUCAGCUCGUGUCGUGAGAUGUUGGGUUAAGUCCCGCAACGAGCGCAACCCUUGUCUUUAGUUACCAUCAUUCAGUUGGGGACUCUAAAGAUACUGCCCCGGUCAACGGGGAGGAAGGUGGGGAUGACGUCAAGUCCUCAUGGCCUUUAUGUCCAGGGCUACACACGUGCUACAAUGGGCUGUACAAAGGGUCGCGAACCCGCGAGGGUAAGCCAAUCCCAAAAAGCAGUCCCAAGUUCGGAUUGGAGUCUGCAACUCGACUCCAUGAAGCUGGAAUCGCUAGUAAUCGCGGAUCAGCAUGCCGCGGUGAAUACGUUCCCGGGCCUUGUACACACCGCCCGUCACACCAUGAGAGUUGGUUGUACCAGAAGUCGUCGGGCUAACCUUUCGAGGAUGCAGGCGCCUAAGGUAUGGCUGAUAAUUAGGGUGAAGUCGAAACAAGGUA